rnacentral:rRNA from 1 species
AGCAUAUCAAUAAGCGGAGGAAAAGAAACCAACAGGGAUUGCCCCAGUAACGGCGAGUGAAGCGGCAACAGCUCAAAUUUGAAAUCUGGCCCCUCGGGCCCGAGUUGUAAUUUGUAGAGGAUGCUUUUGGCAAGGUGCCGCCCGAGUUCCCUGGAACGGGACGCCGCAGAGGGUGAGAGCCCCGUCUGGCUGGCCACCGAGCCUCUGUAAAGCUCCUUCGACGAGUCGAGUAGUUUGGGAAUGCUGCUCAAAAUGGGAGGUAUAUGUCUUCUAAAGCUAAAUAUUGGCCAGAGACCGAUAGCGCACAAGUAGAGUGAUCGAAAGAUGAAAAGCACUUUGAAAAGAGGGUUAAACAGUACGUGAAAUUGUUGAAAGGGAAGCGCUCAUGACCAGACUUGGGCUUGGCGAAUCAUCCGGCGUUCUCGCCGGUGCACUUCGCCUCGCCCAGGCCAGCAUCAGUUCGCGCCGGGGGACAAAAGCUUCGGGAAUGUGGCUCCUCCGGGAGUGUUAUAGCCCGUUGCAUAAUACCCUGGUGCGGACUGAGGUUCGCGCAUCUGCAAGGAUGCUGGCGUAAUGGUCAUCAGCGACCCGUCUUGAAACACGGACCAAGGAGUCGUCUUCGUAUGCGAGUGUUCGGGUGUCAAACCCCUACGCGUAAUGAAAGUGAACGCAGGUGAGAGCUUCGGCGCAUCAUCGACCGAUCCUGAUGUUCUCGGAUGGAUUUGAGUAAGAGCAUACGGGGCCGGACCCGAAAGAAGGUGAACUAUGCCUGUAUAGGGUGAAGCCAGAGGAAACUCUGGUGGAGGCUCGCAGCGGUUCUGACGUGCAAAUCGAUCGUCAAAUAUGGGCAUGGGGGCGAAAGACUAAUCGAACCUUCUAGUAGCUGGUUU